rnacentral:rRNA from 1 species
UACGUAGGGUGCAAGCGUUAAUCGGAAUUACUGGGCGUAAAGCGUGCGCAGGCGGUUUUGUAAGUCAGAUGUGAAAUCCCCGAGCUUAACUUGGGAAUUGCAUUGGUGACUGCACGGCUAGAGUGUGUCAGAGGGGGGUAGAAUUCCACGUGUAGCAGUGAAAUGCGUAGAGAUGUGGAGGAAUACCGAUGGCGAAGGCAGCCCCCUGGGAUAACACUGACGCUCAUGCACGAAAGCGUGGGGAGCAAACAGG